ensembl:snRNA LOC120095762 U1 spliceosomal RNA
AUAGUUACUUGGCAUGGGAGAUGGCGUGGCCAGAAACAUGGUUUUCCUUGGCAAGGCUGACUCACUGCACUCUGGAUGUGCUGACCCCUGCAGUUUCACCAAAAAGCAUGAAACUUGACUACAUAAUUUGUGGUAGUGGGGAACUGUGUUCAUGUUCUGCCCUG